CACAGCAACACCCCCACUCCCCGUCUUCUCUUUGCCCUUUCUCCCUCCUCGCCCUGCACCCGUGCCUUGGAGCGCAUAGAGUAAACCCCAAACUUUGCCCCAACAAGUUAACGUUUUAGUAAGUGACGUGAUGCAGCUUUAGGAAUUCCUACAAACUUGAGAAAAAGUGGACCUUCUGUGAUCUAGGACUAGGUAAGAGCUGGUGAUGAAAGGAAAAAAGAACCGGAAUUAAAGAGAAAGUGGCAGCUUUUUUUAGAGUUCCCCUCUCCCAUGCGAUCAGCAGGCGCAGCAGCAGCAGCAGCAUACCCCUUCUGCCAAUGACAUGAGGCUCCGGCUGCUACUGCAGGGACCCAGGCGGAGAAGAUGGAUCACACCUGGGUAUAACAUUUCAGCAGUUGGUGACAGCAAGUGGUCCUUUCAGUCCAUUCAUAGCUCUGUGGAGACCACAGGGGAGUUUUUCAUAAGGUCUGACAAUGUCAUUGGAAGUAGAGAGAAGGCAUUUGUGAGAGAAACAGCAGCAGCAGCAGUGAACCUUUGCAUCUGAGUAAAAUGCUGUGGAAUGGUGACAAGGAUGAAACAAACAUAAGAUUUUCUACAAGGUGGCAAAAGAAGCCAAGUGCUGCCUGGAACCAGAAUAAAAUGUCAUUGGGAGGGUGUGAUUGCAGUAUUCCCUCCAUUUCCUGCCAUGGGAUCCAUAUCCAGGAAUUCUCUCCUGCUCUCCAAACACCACCUGAAUUUGACAGAACAUUUUGAAUUGGUUAUACCAUGUGCCAAACCUGUUAGUUGUAACUCUGCUAUAUGCAAAUAAAUGUUUGUUCAAUGUUUUCUGAUGAUUAUGAAAAUAAACAUGUG